GUAGGGUGCAAGCGUUGUCCGGAAUUACUGGGCGUAAAGAGUUCGUAGGCGGUUUGUCGCGUCGUUUGUGAAAACCAGCAGCUCAACUGCUGGCUUGCAAGCGAUACGGGCAGGCUUGAGUACUGCAGGGGAGACUGGAAUUCCUGGUGUAGCGGUGAAAUGCGCAGAUAUCAGGAGGAACACCGGAGGCGAAGGCGGGUCUCUGGGCAGUAACUGAUGCUGAGGAACGAAAGCGUGGGUAGCGAACAGGAUUAGAUACCCUGGUAGUCCACGCCGUAAACGGUGGGCGCUAGGUGUGGGUUCCUUCCACGGAAUCCGUGCCGUAGCUAACGCAUUAAGCGCCCCGCCUGGGGAGUACGGCCGCAAGGCUA
rnacentral:rRNA from 1 species